ensembl:snoRNA small nucleolar RNA SNORA11
GGGGUGUGCUCAGAGCAGGUGGCCUGAAGAAUCGCUUCUCUAUUUACAACACAUUCAACAGGAAUCUAGGUUAUUGUGACAAGGGGCACAAAGCUUCUGACCGCCUCUGAGCAGAUGUCCUAUACCU